rnacentral:rRNA from 1 species
AGCGAACGCUGGCGGCAGGCCUAACACAUGCAAAUCGAACGAACCUUUCGGGGUUAGUGGCGGACGGGUGAGUAACACGUGGGAACGUGCCUUUAGGUUCGGAAUAACUCAGGGAAACUUGUGCUAAUACCGAAUGUGCCCUUCGGGGGAAAGAUUAAUCGCCUUUAGAGCGGCCCGCGUCUGAUUAGCUAGUUGGUUGAGGUAAUGGCUCACCAAGGCGACGAUCAGUAGCUGGUCUGAGAGGAUGAUCAGCCACAUUGGGACUGAGACACGGCCCAAACUCCUACGGGAGGCAGCAGUGGGGAAUCUUGCGCAAUGGGCGAAAGCCUGACGCAGCCAUGCCGCGUGAAUGAUGAAGGUCUUAGGAUUGUAAAAUUCUUUCACCGGGGACGAUAAUGACGGUACCCGGAGAAGAAGCCCCGGCUAACUUCGUG